AGCGAACGCUGGCGGCAGGCCUAACACAUGCAAGUCGAACGGAUCCUUCGGGAUUAGUGGCGGACGGGUGAGUAACACGUGGGAACGUGCCCUUUGGUUCGGAACAACUCAGGGAAACUUGAGCUAAUACCGGAUGUGCCCUUCGGGGGAAAGAUUUAUCGCCAUUGGAGCGGCCCGCGUCUGAUUAGCUAGUUGGUGAGGUAACGGCCCACCAAGGCGACGAUCAGUAGCUGGUCUGAGAGGAUGAUCAGCCACACUGGGACUGAGACACGGCCCAGACUCCUACGGGAGGCAGCAGUGGGGAAUCUUGCGCAAUAGGCGAAAGCCUGACGCAGCCAUGCCGCGUGAAUGAUGAAGGUCUUAGGAUUGUAAAAUUCUUUCAGCGGGGACGAUAAUGACGGUACCCGCAGAAGAAGCUCCGGCUAACUUCGUG
rnacentral:rRNA from 1 species